AUUGAACGCUGGCGGCAGGCCUAACACAUGCAAGUCGAGCGGAUGAAGGGGGCUUGCUCCUGGAUUCAGCGGCGGACGGGUGAGUAAUGCCUAGGAAUCUGCCUGGUAGUGGGGGAUAACGUCCGGAAACGGGCGCUAAUACCGCAUACGUCCUGAGGGAGAAAGGGGGGGAUCUUCGGACCUCACGCUAUCAGAUGAGCCUAGGUCGGAUUAGCUAGUUGGUUGGGUAAAGGCCUACCAAGGCGACGAUCCGUAACUGGUCUGAGAGGAUGAUCAGUCACACUGGAACUGAGACACGGUCCAGACUCCUACGGGAGGCAGCAGUGGGGAAUAUUGGACAAUGGGCGAAAGCCUGAUCCAGCCAUGCCGCGUGUGUGAAGAAGGUCUUCGGAUUGUAAAGCACUUUAAGUUGGGAGGAAGGGCAGUAAGUUAAUACCUUGCUGUUUUGACGUUACCAACAGAAUAAGCACCGGCUAACUUCGUG
rnacentral:rRNA from 1 species